GGAUCAAUAUGUUGGUCGUGCCUUGGUACGUACUAGUUUAUUGGUUUCUUCCUUCUGACGAACCAUGAUGUCAUUAAUUUGGUGUCUUGGGAAAUCAGGACUGUUACUUUGAAAAAAUUAGAGUGUUUAAAGCAGGCUAACGUCUGAAUACAUUAGCAUGGAAUAAUGAAAUAGGACGGCUUGAUUCUAUUUCGUUGGUUUCUAGGAUCACCGUA
rnacentral:rRNA from 1 species